rnacentral:tRNA from 1 species
GGCGGGAGUAGUUCAAUGGUAGAACCCUAGCCUUCCAAGCUAAUGACGCGGGUUCGAUUCCCGUCUCCCUCUCCA